CCUACGGGUGGCAGCAGUAGGGAAUCUUUCACAAUGGGCGAAAGCCUGAUGGAGCAACGCCGCGUGAAGGAUGAAGGCAUUCGGGUUGUAAACUGCUUUUAUAAGCGAGAAAUAUGAUGGUAACUUAUGAAUAAGGAUCGGCUAACUACGUGCCAGCAGCCGCGGUCAUACGUAGGAUCCGAGCAUUAUCCGGAGUGACUGGGUGUAAAGAGUUGCGUAGGUGGCAUAAUAAGUAGCUAGUGAAAUCUGGUGGCUCAACCAUUCAGACUAUUAGCUAAACUGUUAAGCUCGAGACCGUUAGGGGUAACUGGAAUUUCUAGUGUAGGAGUGAAAUCCGUAGAUAUUAGAAGGAACACCAAUAGCGUAGGCAGGUUGCUGGGACGGUUCUGACACUAAGGCACGAAAGCGUAGGGAGCAAACGGGAUUAGAUACCCGUGUAGUC
rnacentral:rRNA from 1 species